rnacentral:ncRNA from 11 species
AUGAUGAUUACAUUUUUAAUGUUUAUGGUUUUAAAACUGAAUAACCAUGAGGAUAAAUUCUAGGGCGGUCUGAUAUU